rnacentral:rRNA from 1 species
UGGGGAAUAUUGCACAAUGGGGGAAACCCUGAUGCAGCGAUGUCGCGUGAAGGAUGAAGGUUUUCGGAUUGUAAACUUCUAUCAGCAAGGAAGAAAAAGGACAGUACUUGACUAAGCAGCCCCGGCUAACUACGUGCCAGCAGCCGCGGUAAUACGUAGGGGGCAAGCGUUAUCCGGAAUUACUGGGUGUAAAGGGUGUGUAGGCGGCGAUACAAGUCAGUCGUGAAAGGUGCGGGCUCAACCCGCAAAUUGCGAUUGAAACUGUAUUGCUAGAGUGCAGGAGAGGAAAGCGGAAUUCCUAGUGUAGCGGUGAAAUGCGUAGAUAUUAGGAAGAACACCAGUGGCGAAGGCGGCUUUCUGGACUGUAACUGACGCUGAGACACGAAAGCGUGGGGAGCAAACAGGAUUAGAUACCCUGGUAGU